rnacentral:rRNA from 1 species
CCUACGGGAGGCAGCAGUGAGGAAUAUUGGUCAAUGGGCGCGAGCCUGAACCAGCCAAGUAGCGUGAAGGAUGACUGCCCUACGGGUUGUAAACUUCUUUUAUAAAGGAAUAAAGUGAGGCACGUGUGCCUUUUUGUAUGUACGUUAUGAAUAAGGAUCGGCUAACUCCGUGCCAGCAGCCGCGGUAAUACGGAGGAUCCGAGCGUUAUCCGGAUUUAUUGGGUUUAAAGGGAGCGUAGAGGGGUUGUUAAGUCAGUUGUGAAAGUUUGCGGCUCAACCGUAAAAUUGCAAUUGAUACGGGCAGUCUUGAGUACAGUUGCGGUAUGCGGAAUUCGUUGUGUAGCCGU